AUUCCAGCUCCAAUAGCGUAUAUUAAAGUUGUUGCAGUUAAAAAGCUCGUAGUUGGAUUUCUGGGAGGGUGCCAAUGUCCGCCGAGUGCGUGCGCAGCGGCGCCCUUCCAUCCUUCUGUUAACGCCUCUUGGCAUUCAUUUGCUGGUGGCGGGCUCAGAUAUUUUACCUUGAGAAAAUUAGAGUGUUUCAGGCAGGCUAGGCCGGAAUACAUUAGCAUGGAAUAAUGGAAUAGGACUACGGUCUCUUUGUUGGUUUGAGGGACUGCAGUAAUGAUUAAUAGGGAUAGUCGGGGGCAUUAGUAUUUAAUUGUCAGAGGUGGAAUUCUCGGAUUUGUUAAAGACUAACUUAUGCGAAAGCAUUUGCCAAGGAUGUUUUCAUCA
rnacentral:rRNA from 1 species